UUGCCUCAGUAACGGCGAGUGAAGCGGCAACAGCUCAAAUUUGAAAUCUGGCUCCCUUGGGGGGUCCGAAUUGUAAUUUGCAGAGGAUGCUUCGGGUGCGACACCGACCUAAGUUCCUUGGAACAGGGCGUCAUAGAGGGUGAGAAUCCCGUAUGUGGCCCGCAGCCUGCCCGUGUGAAGCUCCUUCGACGAGUCGAGUUGUUUG
rnacentral:rRNA from 1 species